CCUACGGGUGGCAGCAGUGGGGAAUUUUGCGCAAUGGGGGAAACCCUGACGCAGCAACGCCGCGUGCGGGACGACGGCUCUCGGGUUGUAAACCGCUUUCAGUGGGGACGAUGAUGACGGUACCCACAGAAGAAGCUCCGGCUAACUACGUGCCAGCAGCCGCGGUAAUACGUAGGGAGCGAGCGUUAUCCGGAUUCAUUGGGCGUAAAGCGCGCGUAGGCGGCUGCCUAAGCGGAAGCUAUAAUCCCGGGGCUCAACCUCGGGACGGUUUGCGAACUGGGCGGCUGGAGUGCGGUAGAGGCAGGCGGAAUUCCUGGUGUAGCGGUGGAAUGCGUAGAUAUCGGGAAGAACACCGAUGGCGAAGGCAGCCUGCUGGGCCGACACUGACGUUGAGGCGCGAAAGCUUGGGGAGCGAACAGGAUUAGAUACCCCAGUAGUC
rnacentral:rRNA from 1 species